UUUUCUUGGAGGGGAACAUCAUCAUUAACUCAUUCUUAACUACUCAUGAACUCCUUAUGUAUGUCCAACUAGUGUGUUUACACUGAAAAACAAAUAAGUGUUCUGUCUUUCCCAGAGAUG
rnacentral:pre_miRNA from 1 species